rnacentral:rRNA from 1 species
ACGUAGGGGGCAAGCGUUAUCCGGAUUUACUGGGUGUAAAGGGAGCGUAGGCGGUCAGACAAGUCAGAAGUGAAAGCCCGGGGCUCAACUCCGGGACUGCUUUUGAAACUGCCGGACUAGAUUGCAGGAGAGGUAAGUGGAAUUCCUAGUGUAGCGGUGAAAUGCGUAGAUAUUAGGAGGAACACCAGUGGCGAAGGCGGCUUACUGGACUGUAAAUGACGCUGAGGCUCGAAAGCGUGGGGAGCAAACAG